UUUCUCAUAUUGAAUUUCCCUUUUAUUUUUCAUAUUCUGCUUAUUUAAUUGCUUUCAGUAGUUGCUAAUCAAAUCAAUCUCAAAACCCCCCAUUUUACUUUUAUUGCACUUUAUUUUUAUUCCGCUUUUAGUUACUUGCUUUCAGUUGCGCUUGCAGUUAAUUCUCUUGGUCUUGUUAAGAGAAAUAGAUAAGUUUUCAAUUCUCUGUGGAUUCGAUCCUUUACCACUAUCUGCAGAAGUAAUAUUGUUGAUAACCAGAAAAGUUAUUUUUGACCGGCUUCGACAACCGCGAGUCAAUGGUUGACAGACUUGGCAAUUUUUGGGAUGGAAGCUGUUAUGCCGAAAUCAAGUACCGAUUGUAAUAUGGGUGAUAGACUUGACAGUUUUUGCGAAUGAAGGUGUUAUGCCGAAAUCAGGCACCGGUUGUAACAUGGGUGAUAGACUUGGCAGUUUUUGCGAUAAAAAUUGUUAUGCCGAAAUCGGGCAUCGGUUGUAACAUGGGUGAUAGACUUUGCAGUUGUUGCGAUAGAAGCUGUUAUGCCGAAAUCGGGUACCGGUUGUAACAUGGGUGAUUGACUUGAAACUUUUUGCGAUAGAAGCUGUUAUGCCAAAACCAGGCAGCGGAUGAAACAUCGGUGAUAGACUUGGAAAUUUUUGCGAUAGAAGCUAAUAUGCCGAAACUGGGCACCAGAUGUAACAUGGGUGAUAGACUUGGCAAUUUAUCGGAUGGAAGCUGUUAUGCCGAAAUCGGGCACCGGUUGUAACAUGGGUGAUAGACUUGUUAGUUUUUGCGAUAUAAGUUGUUUUGCCAAAAUCAGGCACCGGAUAUAACAUGCGUGAUAGACUUGGCAGUUUUUGCGAUAGAAGUUGUGAUGCCAAAAUCAGGCAUCGGUUGUAACAUGGGUGAUAGACUUGGCAAUUUUUAGGAUUGAAGCGAUUAUGCCGAAAUCGGGCACUAGUUGUAACAUGGGUGAUAGGCUUGGCAGUUUUUAGGAUGGACGCUGUUAUGCUGAAAUCUGUCACCGGUUGUAACAUGUGUAAUAGACUUGGCAGUUCUUGCGAUAAAAGCUGUUAUACCGAAAUCGGGCACCGGUUGUAACAUGGGUGAUAGACUUGGCAAUUCUUGCGAUAAAAGUUGUUAUGUCGAAAUCAGGCACCAGUUGUAACUUGGGUGAUAGACUUGGGAGUUUUUGCAAGGGAAGCUAUUAUGCCGAAAUCGGGCACCAGUGGUAACAUGGGUAAUGGACUUGGCAGUUCUUGCGAUAAAAGCUGUUAUGCCGAAAUUGGCCAUAGGUUGUAACAUGGGUGAUGGACUUGGAAGUUUGAGCGACGCAAGCUGUUUUGCCUAAAUCGGGAACCGGUUGCAACAUGGGUGAUAGACUUUGCAUUUUUUCGAAUGGAAGCCGUUAUGCCGAAAUCGGCAACCGGUUGUAACAUGGGUGAUAGACUUGGUGGUUUUUGCGAUAGAAACUGUUAUGCCAAAAUUGGCCA
rnacentral:lncRNA from 1 species